rnacentral:rRNA from 1 species
GAUGAACGCUGGCGGCGUGCCUAAUACAUGCAAGUCGAGCGAACGGACGAGAAGCUUGCUUUUCUGAUGUUAGCGGCGGACGGGUGAGUAACACGUGGAUAACCUACCUAUAAGACUGGGAUAACUUCGGGAAACCGGAGCUAAUACCGGAUAAUAUUUUGAACCGCAUGGUUCAAAAGUGAAAGACGGUCUUGCUGUCACUUAUAGAUGGAUCCGCGCUGCAUUAGCUAGUUGGUAAGGUAACGGCUUACCAAGGCAACGAUGCACAGCCGACCUGAGAGGGUGAUCGGCCACACUGGAACUGAGACACGGUCCAGACUCCUACGGGAGGCAGCAGUAGGGAAUCUUCCGCAAUGGGCGAAAGCCUGACGGAGCAACGCCGCGUGAGUGAUGAAGGUCUUCGGAUCGUAAAACUCUGUUAUUAGGGAAGAACAUAUGUGUAAGUAACUGUGCACAUCUUGACGGUACCUAAUCAGAAAGCCACGGCUAACUACGUGCCAGCAGCCGCGGUAAUACGUAGGUGGCAAGCGUUAUCCGGAAUUAUUGGGCGUAAAGCGCGCGUAGGCGGUUUUUUAAGUCUGAUGUGAAAGCCCACGGCUCAACCGUGGAGGGUCAUUGGAAACUGGAAAACUUGAGUGCAGAAGAGGAAAGUGGAAUUCCAUGUGUAGCGGUGAAAUGCGCAGAGAUGUGGAGGAACACCAGUGGCGAAGGCGACUUUCUGGUCUGUAACUGACGCUGAUGUGCGAAAGCGUGGGGAUCAAACAGGAUUAGAUACCCUGGUAGUCCACGCCGUAAACGAUGAGUGCUAAGUGUUAGGGGGUUUCCGCCCCUUAGUGCUGCAGCUAACGCAUUAAGCACUCCGCCUGGGGAGUACGACCGCAAGGUUGAAACUCAAAGGAAUUGACGGGGGCCCGCACAAGCGGUGGAGCAUGUGGUUUAAUUCGAAGCAACGCGAAGAACCUUACCAAAUCUUGACAUCCUUUGACAACUCUAGAGAUAGAGCCUUCCCCUUCGGGGGACAAAGUGACAGGUGGUGCAUGGUUGUCGUCAGCUCGUGUCGUGAGAUGUUGGGUUAAGUCCCGCAACGAGCGCAACCCUUAAGCUUAGUUGCCAUCAUUAAGUUGGGCACUCUAAGUUGACUGCCGGUGACAAACCGGAGGAAGGUGGGGAUGACGUCAAAUCAUCAUGCCCCUUAUGAUUUGGGCUACACACGUGCUACAAUGGACAAUACAAAGGGCAGCGAAACCGCGAGGUCAAGCAAAUCCCAUAAAGUUGUUCUCAGUUCGGAUUGUAGUCUGCAACUCGACUACAUGAAGCUGGAAUCGCUAGUAAUCGUAGAUCAGCAUGCUACGGUGAAUACGUUCCCGGGUCU